rnacentral:rRNA from 1 species
CGGAGGUGCAAGCGUUAUCCGGAUUUAUUGGGUUUAAAGGGUCCGUAGGCGGACUUAUAAGUCAGUGGUGAAAUCCUGUCGCUUAACGAUAGAACUGCCAUUGAUACUGUAAGUCUUGAGUAUAUUUGAGGUAGCUGGAAUAAGUAGUGUAGCGGUGAAAUGCAUAGAUAUUACUUAGAACACCAAUUGCGAAGGCAGGUUACCAAGAUAUAACUGACGCUGAGGGACGAAAGCGUGGGUAGCGAACAGGAUU